rnacentral:rRNA from 1 species
CCCUUAGAUGUUCUGGGCGGCCCGCGCACUACAUUGGCACUGGCAACAAGAUCCUAGAUCUGAUAUUUCGGGGUAUUCUACCAACUGGUGUCGUGACUGGGAUUAACCCCUGCAAUUAUUGGUUAUGAACGAGGAAUUCCUUGUAAUCACGGUUUAUCAACCCGUGUUGAAUGCGUCCCUGCCCUUUGUACACACCGCCCGUCGCUCCUACCGAUGAAUCGUCCCGUGAAGUUCAUGGAGUCGCGGCUGCUCCAGCUGUUUUCGAAGUGAAAUGGACCUCAUGAUUUAGAGGAAGGAGAAGUCGUANCA